rnacentral:rRNA from 1 species
CCUACGGGAGGCAGCAGUAGGGAAUCUUGCACAAUGGGCGCAAGCCUGAUGCAGCAACGCCGCGUGGGUGAAGAAGGCUUUCGAGUUGUAAAGCCCUUUCAGCCGGAAAGAAGGGUAUCGGGGUGAAUAGCCUCGGUGCUUGACGGUACCGGCAGAAGAAGCACUGGCUAACUCCGUGCCAGCAGCCGCGGUAAUACGGAGAGUGCAAGCGUUGUUCGGAAUAACUGGGCGUAGAGUGCGAGUAGGCGGGUUUGCAAGUCGAUUGUGAAAUCCCAGAGCUUAACUUGGGAAUUGCAGUGGAAACUGCCGAUCUUGAAUGCCUGAGAGGAAAGCGGAAUUCCUGGUGUAGAAGUGAAAUUCGUAGAGAUCAGGAGGAACACUUGUGGCGAAGGCGGCUAUCUGGCAGUGCAUUGACGCUGAAUCGCGAAAGCGUGGGGAGCAAACAGGAUUAGAUACCCUGGUAGUCCACGCGGUAAACGAUGGAUACUAGCUGU